UCGGGGUCAUCAAAGCCUUUUUUUUUUUAUACCUCCUCCAUCCUGACUCCUGAGGGAAAAGUUUGCAAGAACCGACGGACGAGCGCCUCUCGAGCGCGGGCGAGCUUUCUUUUGAGAUCCAAUCGAUCGCCGGAAAUGCCUGUGAGAGUGGUCGAGAGCUCGACUACUUCGCAAGUUUCAGGCUUUUGCUGGAACUCAGAAUGUUUCGAGUUUACAGAAAGAUGAAGCAUGGAAAGUUAAUGUACGGAUCCAAGGAUGUGAUCUUGAAAAUGGUUAUUUAUGUGGUACAAUGGAGGCACUCAAUGUUCCUUGAGCGGACACACCUGUAGUUACAUUCUGGGAGGGAGAAAUUGUUGACACUAAGAACUAUACAUUUUUCACUGGCAAGUGGGAAGCGACGUAUGACCCCACUUUUCCAGUAGUUUCUUUUCCAUUGUUGACCACAUUAUAGGGCUUGUCUAUAUUCUUCUCUCAAGCAAGUUGGUUGUGGGUUUUCUUACAGGCCAGAGGAUGACAUAAGGCACUGGUCCAAGUUUCCAUCUUUUGCCCCACUUCUGGUAAGAGAACCUUGGUCUGAGUCUCCUUUUAAUGGUUCAGAUGAAGAGGGUUCUUCUUUCUCGCUUCAGAGCCAGGUUGAGGCUGAUGGUGGUAAAUCUUUGGACCUGAGCAACUGCACUUACAUAUUUAUGGUAUUAUAUUUGCUGAACAUCUUCUCCAAUUUCCUCUUGAAGCAUGGCACUUAUUCUAUCAGCAAGAUGAUGCCUGCUUCCCAUGCAUGUUUCAGAGAUGGAAGGAGCAGUACUUUGUUAAUGUUGGAAUAGACUGCGGCUUGACUAUUGUUGGCUUCUACUAUGUUUGCUUUUCCUGCAGUGAUGGCUCUAUUAAUGGCUUUUAUUAUGAUCCAAACAGUAGCCCGUUUCAGAAGCUUGAACUAAAGUGCAGCAAUGAGAAGCACUUAGGUUUCACUUUUUCUUCAUAUCAGUUGCAGUGAGCCAAUUUUCUUGAUCAUAAAAGCUGUCUAUGAUUUUUUCCAUCUUCUGAUUACUGUGCAGUUUAUGCUGCUGAUAUUGUUUGAGCUGUUUGAUCUUUGAACAGCAAUCUUGUGUCACCAAAUGAUAAUUAUAUUUAAAAUCACUUCACCUCUUUUACUGGGCAUC